UACGGAGGGUGCAAGCGUUAUCCGGAUUCACUGGGUUUAAAGGGUGCGUAGGUGGGUUGUUAAGUCAGUGGUGAAAUCCCCGAGCUUAACUUGGGAACUGCCAUUGAUACUAUUGAUCUUGAAUACCGUGGAGGUCAGCGGAAUAUGUCAUGUAGCGGUGAAAUGCUUAGAUAUGACAUAGAACACCAAUUGCGAAGGCAGCUGGCUACGCGAAUAUUGACACUGAUGCACGAAAGCGUGGGGAUCAAACAGG
rnacentral:rRNA from 1 species